GACCUUGGCUCGGGGUGGAGGGAUUGGUUUUAAGGCGUUUUGCAGGCCGCAGGAUGCGGGCAGGGGCCUGGCGUUGCCUUCAUGCGGCGGGUGAAGAUUUGACUAGCAGAUUCCCCAGGCUGAACCCCUUCCACCGGGCUGAAUUUAGCAGCAGAAGAGAUAACCAGGAGAUAAGGACUGAUACCCGGGAGGACAGCGGGAGACCGGCAGGCGGCUGAGGGAAGGGGGAGAAGCCGGAGGCAGAGUCCCGUGGCGCUUUGGGAACGGGUAAGGAUGGAAGCGAGCCGGGAAGAAAGGGCGUUUAGGGGAGCUCUGCUGCCUACGAAGCCCAGGGGACGGAGGAGCAGCGGGCGCGUGUGUGCGUGCCGUGCGCGCGUGUGUAGGUGUCUCUGCGUGCGGGUUGCCAACCUAGGAUGGAUCAUUUCCACGGGACUCUCCAAAGAGGAGCAGAAUGCACAGGCAGAAAGAGAGACGGAGUGAAUUUUCCUCCUGUUGGGCUAUCGACAUACAGAGAAGGAAGAGAGAAUUCAAUAUAUCGUUAUCUUUGUUCAAGCAGCUGUGUAUCCAGAAGUGCCGCAUUUCCAAGGGACAAAACAUAUUUCUCUCUAUCCGUUUCAAAAUCUCUGGCCGUUCUUUUCUCUACCAAAGAAGUAUGACCGGAUUUUCUGAAGCUCCUUGAAAUUCUACAGAAAACCAGCGCUUUUUUUUUAAAAAAAAAAAAAAGUAAAAAAAUUAAUUAAUUCCAUUUCAAAAUGCCCAAGCAGCCUGUGUCUUCUUUGCCAGGAGCAGACAACAUUUCAAGGACCUGCCUGCCUUCGCUUUAUCGCACAGCCUUUUCUAGGAAUCCCCGAUGUGUCAGCUGCACGGCCGGGAGGAUUUCAGGAAUAAUCGCGAAAUUCCUGUGACAGGUUUUGCGCGUGUGUGGCUGGAUCUAGCCACUUUCGGCAGAGAAAUAUUAGUCCCGGAUGCAAAGCACCGCCGUGGAGCCAGGAGAUGAACCCCUCCGUGGUGCGAAUCGCGCAAAUUAACAGACAGGAGGGAACUGAUGCAUCUGGGACAGCUUUUCUCCUUAUUUCCUAAACAUACAAAAAAGCAGAGAAUGGGAUAUAGGAGAGUUCAGCGGGGCGACAACAGAAAAAAAAUCACUGCUCUCCGCUCGGAGAAUCCCUUUCCUGUGAUUACAAAAUGUACUUUCCUGAAAACCAAGCCGGCUAACGAAAUUAAGUUAAAUAUAACAUUGCAAAACAAAUCUUGUCCUUUCCACUCUCCUUUCCAGUCCCCCCUGCGCCCCGAGGAAGGAAAUAAAUCGACACGAUGCCGUUUUUUUCUUGCAUCGAAAUUAAUUGUUC